UGGUGCCCCCAAGUGGUGCGAUAUUUUGGUGUUGCGCUUCCAGACGCAUGCCCAGUGUUAAUUGUACAUACGGGAACUUGAAGUAAUUGAGACAACGCAGUCCGCAUUUGACAAUCUACCCUGUUUGGAAAAAAUGGCGGCUCUUUUGGUGGAAUCGUGCGAUUGAAAGCAAAACACAAAGGAAUUUUGGGCGCGAAGAUCUACACUGGUUCGGUGCUUAUUUUACAUACGGGACAUUUCAGUCGUCGUGUUGGUCAUUUGAAAGAAACCGCGCUUGAAGCACAAGCACACAGUUCUGGUCUUUCCUCUAUUCAGUACAAGAUAAAACCACAGAAACUUUGGCGCGAAGAUCUACGCUGGUUCGGUGCUUAUUUUACAUACGGGACAUUUCCGUCAUCAUGUUGUUGGCCAUUUGAAACACCGCGCUUGACACACAGUUAUGGUCUUUUCUCAAAUCAGUGCAAGAUAAAGACACAGCAAAACAUCGACAGUAUGCUGUUUAAAGUGCAGUACCAACAUCACAGAAAGUACAUAAAGCUUACUGGAUCAUCUUAUGAUUCUGUAAUCAAGGAUGGUAAGUGCUCCUGAAUGGUGAUAUCUGGCUAAUAAUUGUAAUAUGGUUUGUAUGCAUUUCAUUGUUAAUAACAAAUCUUUUAAGUC